rnacentral:rRNA from 1 species
CUGCGGACGUCAUUAUCGAGUCUUGACUGGGUUGUAGCUGGCCUUACGAGGUAUGUGCACGCCCGGCUCAUCCACUCUACACCUGUGCACUUACUGUAGGUUUCAAAUAGUGGAGCAUUCCUUUAUGGGUUUGUAAAGCUGUUUGGGCCUAUGUUUAUUACAAACCCUUUAAAGUAACAGAAUGUGUAUUGCGUUGUCACGCAUUUAUAUACAACUUUCAGCAACGGAUCUCUUGGCUCUCGCAUCGAUGAAGAACGCAGCGAAAUGCGAUAAGUAAUGUGAAUUGCAGAAUUCAGUGAAUCAUCGAAUCUUUGAACGCACCUUGCGCUCCUUGGUAUUCCGAGGAGCAUGCCUGUUUGAGUGUCAUGAAAUCAUCAACUUACAAACCUUUGUGGGUUAGUAAGCUUGGACUUGGAGGUGUUUGUUGGCCCUAGUGGUUGACUCCUCUUAAAUGCAUUAGCUUAAUUCCUUGCGGAUUGGCUCUCGGUGUGAUAAUUGUCUACGCCGUGGCCGUGAAGCAUUUAUGGGGUGGGCUUCUAAUUGUCUCUUUAGAGACAGCACUUUGACCUCUGACCUCAAAUCAGGUAGGACUACCCGCUGAACUUAAGCAUAUCAAAA